rnacentral:tRNA from 1 species
GUCCCCAUAGCUCAGUGGAUUAGAGCGUCUCCCUCCGGAGGAGAAGGUCGAAGGUUCGAGUCCUUCUGGGGACGCCA